CCUACGGGAGUCAGCAGUGAGGAAUAUUGGUCAAUGGCCGUAAGGCUGAACCAGCCAAGCCGCGUGAAGGAAGAAGGAUCUAUGGUUUGUAAACUUCUUUUAUAGGGGAAUAAAGGUCUCCACGUGUGGAUGUUUGCGUGUACCCUAUGAAUAAGCAUCGGCUAACUCCGUGCCAGCAGCCGCGGUAAUACGGAGGAUGCGAGCGUUAUCCGGAUUUAUUGGGUUUAAAGGGUGCGUAGGUGGUUUUGUAAGUCAGCGGUGAAAGUUUGUGGCUCAACCAUAAACUUGCCGUUGAAACUGGCAGACUGGAGUGUGUGAGAGGUAGGCGGAAUGCGUGGUGUAGCGGUGAAAUGCAUAGAUAUCACGCAGAACUCCGAUUGCGAAGGCAGCUUACUAAGCCUUAACUGACACUGAAGCACGAAAGCGUGGGGAUCAAACAGGAUUAGAUACCCCGGUAGUC
rnacentral:rRNA from 1 species